GGGAAGCUGGCUCAGUGGUAGAGUGCUUGCCUUGCAUGCAUGAGGCCCUGGGUUCGAUUCCCCAGCACCACA
rnacentral:tRNA from 1 species